rnacentral:miRNA from 1 species
GACCCUCCCUCCCAGACCCUCCCACCUCCUGGACAGCUCACUAAGAAUGCAGUUUCAAAAUAGAUGCUGUCCAGGAGGUGGGAGGGUCUGGGAGGGAGGGUC